rnacentral:rRNA from 1 species
UACGGAGGGUGCGAGCGUUGUCCGGAAUCACUGGGCGUAAAGGGCGCGUAGGCGGCUUCUCAAGCGUGUGGUGAAAGUCCGGGGCUCAACCCCGGAUCGGCCGUGCGGACUGGGGAGCUCGAGUUCUGUAGAGGCGGGUGGAAUUCCGGGUGUAGCGGUGAAAUGCGCAGAUAUCAGGAGGAACACCGGUGGCGAAGGCGGAUCUCUGGGCCGAUACUGACGCUGAGGAGCGAAAGCGUGGGGAGCGAACAGG